rnacentral:lncRNA from 1 species
AAUACUUUAAAAUCAUGGCUUUAAGCAAAUUUGAAAGGAAAUAAUAAACAGAUUGUAUAUUUCCCAUCCACUUGGUGACUUAGAGCCAUUCCUUUAUCAAGUUAUUUUUUUAAGUUUUAGUGCUGAUCUAGUGUGAUGUGAAUAACAUUCUUAUAUACUCGGAACAGUGGAAAGAUCUGUCAUCCAGAGGUGCUAGCCCCUUGUACAGCUGUGCACCUGAGUGAC